GACGUCCGCAUCUGUUGGAGAACUUCAAGGCAAAUGCCACUGACAUCUCAACAAAUCCUGGACAAGGAGCCUCAGACUGAAGCUUCUACUAACAACUCUAGCCCAAGAAAUGUAGUUUAGACACGUCUUAUUUCCUUAGGCCAAAUGCACAUAAAGCUGAAUUUCUAAGUAAAAAUUAAAUAGAGGGAUAGUAUGUUUUAUUAGCAUUUUCACUAUAUAAUCUCUUUGCCUUGCAACCUCUAUCACCACUUUCCCCUGCUUGAUUUGCAAGCAUCCAGCUUAGGUAUCAUUUUUCAGCAACAGAGCCAUAGCAUGAAGUAAGGUACCCUGUGCUCAGGUACCUUCUCCACUUAGUAGACAAGAAAACUACCUCUUCCAUCUUAAAGUUCAGAGUUAUUUUAAAUUAAAAGGAAUAAAAAUCCAGAAUGCCUUGAAUUCCUCAGUAGAAAUAUGCUACAUGGGUGUGAAGUCCCUAAAUUGUAUGUGUCUCCUCUUCUGUAGCCUAACAGCUGGCACAGAAAUGGAAAAGGAUUGACUUAGAUCCAAAUUAGGGUUGCUAUGGACGGUAGGCUGGUCAUCUGAGCAGAGAUUUACAAAAUUCUUGUUUGAAGGGUAAGAAUACAGAACUGUCACCGUUAAUGCAGAUAUAACCAUAAUAAUAAAAAGCAGCCACCAUGCACGUUUUGUUGGACUCCUGCAUGAAUGCUGACUGAAAAUCAGGUGAUGCUACAAAGCCUCCUAAGACUUGGAACGUGGGCAGGAACCGAAGCUUCAUCUUGGCAAGAUGAAGCCAGAAUGCAAUCUACAAGAGAGCAAGAAUGCAAUCUACAAGAGAGCAAGAAUGCAAUCUACAAGAGAGCAAGAAUCAAAUGCAGGAUGUUCACCAUAACAUCCUACUUUCCGGUUUCAGUGAUGUCUGGGUAUCCUGUAAUAUCAUCACAUCCUCAUUCAAGAAUGAAUAAAAAAGGGGUGUCUGGGUGGCUCAGUAGGUUAAGCGACCAACUCUCGAUUUCAGCUCAGGUCGUGAUCUCACGGUUGGUGGGACCGAGCCCUGCAUGGUUGGUGGGAGUGAGCCCUGUGUUGGACUCUGCACAGUGUGGAGCCUGCUUAGGAUUCUCUCUCUCCCUUUCUCUCUGCCCCUCCCCAACUAGAGGGUGCAGGCAUGUUCCCAUGCUCUCUUUCUCUCAAAUUAAAUGA
rnacentral:lncRNA from 1 species